rnacentral:rRNA from 1 species
CGGGAUUGCCUCAGUAACGGCGAGUGAAGCGGCAAAAGCUCAAAUUUGAAAUCCUUCGGGAGUUGUAAUUUGUAGGUUGGGAGACCCCGCGGCUAGUGGCACCAAGUCCCUUGGAACAGGGCGCCUUAGAGGGUGAGAGCCCCGUAGGUACCACAAUACCGUCUUGUGUCUCCUCUCCAAAGAGUCGAGUUGUUUGGGAAUGCAGCUCAAAGUGGGUGGUAAAUUCCAUCUAAAGCUAAAUACCGGCGAGAGACCGAUAGCGAACAAGUACAGUGAUGGAAAGAUGAAAAGCACUUUGAAAAGAGAGUGAAACAGUACGUGAAAUUGUUGAAAGGGAAGGGCUUGCAAGCAGACACGGCCUUCGUGCCGGGCCAGCAUCGGUUGCUAGGGGUGGAUAAGGAACAAGGAAUGUAGCUCCUCGGAGUAUUAUAGCCUUGCGCGAUACACCCACUGGCGACCGAGGCCUGCGGUAUUCUUUACCUAGGAUGCUGGCGUAAUGGUUGCAAGCCGCCCGUCUUGAAACCGCAGACCA